rnacentral:rRNA from 1 species
GUGUCAGCAGCCGCGGUAAGACAGAAGAUGCAAGCGUUACUCGGAAUUACUGGGCGUAAAGGGUCCGCAGGUGACUGACCACGUCUGGGGUAAAAGCACGUCGCUCAACGGCGUGUAUGUCCCGGAAACGAGUCGGAUUGAGCUACUCAGAGGCAUCUGGAAUGUUGUGUGUAGGGGUAAAAUCCGUUGAUCCACAAUGGAACGCCAAAAGCGAAAGCAGGAUGCUGGGGGUAUGCUGACACUCAUGGACGAAAGCGUGGGGAGCAAACGGGAUUAGAUACCCCCGUAGUCC